rnacentral:lncRNA from 1 species
UGAUCAGUUAACAAUCCAUAUCACAAGCCAGAUGGCAGGAGAGCCAAAGUUCCUUUUAUUUUUCAUCUUACAUAUUCUUACAUAUGCAUGACAUAGUUCAUAAAUAGAAGUUUUAAAACUUAAAGCAAAAUAAAAGAUUGUGGGUAUUUUUAACACAUAAAAUCUAACUGCCACACUUAAUUAUAUUUAUCAGAUUUGAUGACAUCAUUUUCUAAAAUUGAAUUUCUAUUUAUUUGCUUUUCUUUCAGAAUAAAAAGGAAUGUCCUAAUUGUGAAAUCAGAAAUCCAUUUUGAAUUCUUCAUAAAAAUGAAGAUGCAGCUGUGUCCUUCUGGUAACAGUGCUGCCAGCACCUUCCAAAGAUGGAUGCUCAACCUGAUGACCCAUUUGUGACAAAGAGAAAUACAGCAGCUGCGCGUCUUAGAAUGCUCACGCCAGCAUGGUAAGUGUGGCUUCUCUCUCUGUGGGCAGAUUUCUAAUUGCAAGCAGUGCCAGCUACAUCAUUUAUGGGGCCCUGUGCAACAUGAAAAUGUGAGAUCCAUUGUUCAAAAAGCAGAGAAAAAUUUUGACUAAAGGAACUAAAAUAUAAAGCUCUUCUCUAUCUUCCAUGGUCUUUCUUUCAGUUUGUCCUAAGAGAAUUUGCU